UGAAAUAGGGGAUUGAUGAAGGGUCUGGACAUAGAGAUUUGAGAACUAUUCACAACAGAAAAUUUGUAAAAGGUGCUGAUUUAUAGGGUUGGUCUGGCUUUAUAAUUCUGCCAUGUUCUGUUUCAAAGCAGAGUUUGGUGUAAGGGAGCUCUCUCUUUAUAAAAGGUCAAGAGUGUUUCCUUAAUCAAUGCCUGAACAUGGUUGGACAGCAUGGACCUCAAAAGCAAUGAGAACAUGAGCUUCCAGAAUGUAACUGUUUAAUACCAUCCCACCAGUUAAGAUGAAGUAUAAUAACUCUACCAAUUCCCUUUUUUUUUUGUCUCUAAAGUGCCAGCUGUGUUCCUCUUUAAUUGUAUUUAAAAAUAACACUUACUUUCAAAGAUAAGCACAUUCAAGCUGCUAUUAUGGUUGUCUUUUGACUAACGGAAUAAAAUCUUCAACAUUGUAAACUCUCCAGCCCUUAAGGAUUAGACCUCAAACUGCAUCAGCAAGCUUGAAGCGCUUGGGAAGGAUGACACUAUUCGGCUCAACAUGUUUUUCACCAAGUUUUCACCACUACCACUUAGAUCAAAGUGUCAGAAAUUAUACUUGCCGAAGGUCACAGUUUUUCUGUUAGUGCUACAGUCUCUGGAGAGGAUGGUUGGUCAGUGCAUCUGGAAUGACUCUUGCCCUAAUUCAAUGCUUACAAGACAGUGCAAAAUUUCUCAACUUAGCCAGGAUCGAAUAUGUGCAGAGUAUCUUAUUUUUGUGUAGAGGUCGUAACAGAAAUAGCUUCCCUCUUUAACGGAUUCCACUAACACUGAUCUUUCUGUUUGUGGCCUUCACCAACAGAACAGCUAUCCAGUCAGCCAAACUAUGGCAUUAAGGAGUAAGAAAAGCUGCUGGAAAAUGAGAGAACAUGGGGGAGAAGAUUAAGCUUAUAAGGAAUAUAUUUAUUAUUUUAUAUUAAAUACAUACUUAUUUAAUUAGGAACUCGUCCUGCUUAAUGAUCCAUCUGCUGAACAACUUCUUGGAAGCAUCAGUCCAACCUUAUUUAAAAUCCAGUUAAUUUCCCUUUUAUUCUACUCAGAGAGAGAUCAGCAAGGAAUGCAAAACCAAAAUAUCUUCAGAACCAGUUUACUAACUGAAAGUCACUGGAAUAAUUCUUUUGGUUUGACUCAUUGAGCCAGAAUGCUAACAUUAUUUAAACAUAUUGUUUUCUAUUUAUUCUUGGAUUUUUUUAAAUCCCAAAGCUAUAACAAGUGUGUAAUUCACCAGAGAAAAUGGAAUUGCUCUUUGUUAAGUACAUGUUGAAAAUCAUAUGCUCCAAUAUGUAUUGUACAUUUAGUACAGUAAAAAAGCUAUAUUUUCAAAUCCAAAUUUGAAGCAAAGUCAACGCAAUUUGGCAUGCACUGCUGCAUGCAGAGAGAUUUUUAUGUAUUAAAUACUGUCUGGUAAUACCUGAUAUGUUCUGCUUGGUUACAAAUAUUGAAACAAGAGAAGGAUGUUUUAAAUAAAAUCCUAAAUAUAAAAAUAUCUUAAGAGAAAAAAAUGGAUUCGACCACUGCACAACCUAGGAUAUCUAUUUAUAAAGGAUCAUAGAUAAUGUGCCUCUGAUGGGCAGCAGAGUGACACAUAUAGGAGAAUCAAGGGAUACUCUGGCGAAUAUACCAUGGACUCCUGAACAUUGAUGACAACCAGACAAAAGAAACAUUAUCUUCUGUCUUUUAAUUACAGAAGUCUUCCUCACUUCCUCCGUUACUUGGACACAGGGCAUCCUCCACACAGAUCUUGUGAAAUCACAGGUCAAAUCACAACAUGCUCUCUGCUCCAGAUCCUUGACGGCUCCCAGCUCACUCACAGGAAGAGCCAAACCCUAUGAGAGGUGGUCUUCAGGGUCACCCCCACCACCCCCCUCUCACUCUCUCAUCUCCAAGCACCCUGUCACUCACAUCAGUCCAGCUAAUAUCAUGAUCUUCUUGGAGCACCCCAGUUAUGCACCUGCUUCAAAGCUUCUGCAACUGCUGUUCUUCUGGAAUGCCUUUCCCUCACCUAUUUGCAAGCUUUGCUCAUUCAUUUCCUUCUUAUCUUUGUCCAGGCCUUCUUGAUGACCCCAAAUAUAUUAGCAACCCCAAACAUUCUUUAUCCCACACUUCUCUCUUACCCAGCGCUCAUCACAUGACAAUCUACAUUUUUCCUGGUUUGUUUGUUUACUGUUUGGCUCUUUUCACAUGAAAUAAGCUCUGCAAGGGUAAAACCUGUGCCUGUCUUGUUCCCUGUUUUAAAUUUUAUAGAUCAUAGAGGAUGCCAUGGUCCAAUGUCUGCAUUUCCUCCUUCUCAGCUGCUGGGGAGGUGGUACACAGACAGCCUACAGCUGAGUGCCUCUCUUGGUCAAAUGUGAAGCUGAAGAGAGUCACGUGGCCCAAGGUAACACAACCUUCUUCGGGUUGUCCAUAUCAGUGGUGAUAUCAAUUGUGGUGUGGGAAGGCCCAGCCCCAUCAUCUGGAUUAAACACAACUCAUAGGGGCCAUUCCAUUCUGAGAGCUCCUUAUGGGUGCUACUGUGCCUUUUUAAAACUGUACCAGUUCUUUUCCUCCCAGUCCUACACUCUUCCCUCCAUAUGAUGCUGAUCCUGAGAGCACUACUCCAUGAACUUUGAAAGUACAGUUCUCAAACUCAGAGUCUACUUCCUGGGAAACCCUGAAAGGAUCACAGACGAAGAAACUAAAAACAUAUUGUGUAAGUAACUUGUCUGUGGUCACUUAGCCAGUAAGGGGUGGAGCCAGGACCAAACCCACAGAGUCCAGUUCCAGAGCCUAUGUUUUUAACUAUCACUUCCUACUGUUACCCACACAACCAUAUACCCCCCUCCCAGAAAUGUAAGGUAUAUUAAAUACCUUAGUGUGAAUAUUUAUACAAGAAAGGCAUGGAAUUAGGGAUGGGAGAUGAAAGGGGAAAUUAAUAGAAGAGAAGAGAUAGCAAACCAUUAUAGACUGAUGAGUGUGAUUAACUUAAAUAGCAAACCACAAAAAAAAACCCACAGGGGUUUGAGUACUACACUGAAUAGAACAGAUGAUUCCAGAAAUAAAAAUGAGAGUGGGAAGGUGAUAAAAAGAUGGGAUAAUGAAAUCUCAUAUGAUUGUUGGUAGGAUUUAUGAUCUAUAACACAAGCUAUGGGGUCUGUCUGAUACAGUGGUUGCAACUACUGUAAGAGGUGAGGUAAUCUUGUAGACUUUAGUUUCCUUCCUUGAAAUUUAUGGACUGGCUUAGUUACCAUAUGUACUGUUAUUGGCAUUUCGGGUAAAAUGGUAUUUUUUUUUCCUGACCAUAAUGCACACAUCCAAAGGCUAUUAUUGUGAUUAAAUAAAUCAAUGUUAUAAUAGUAUUUUUAUAAACUAUAGAGUGUUUUACAAAUAAUUAUACCUGAGUGAGGAAUCCUCACAGAUUUAUCUAAUUCACACUGUUAUCAAGUAGAAUUCUAAUAAAAUCUCUCUAUCUAUUUUAAAAGAAUUUCUUUCAAAAAAGCUCAAAUCCCAGAGUUCCCAUUGUUGCUUGGUGGUAAUGAACCCAAUAGUAUCCAUGAAGACUCGGGUUCAAUUCCUGUCCUCACUCAGCAGGUUAAGGAUCCAGCAUUGCCAUGAGCUGUGGGUGUAGGUUGCAGACUCGGCUCAAAUCCUUCAUUGCUGGGGCUGUGGCAUAGGCCCCCAGCUGCAGCUCUGGUUCGACCCUUAGCCUGGGAACUUCCAUAUGCCGCAUAUAAGGCUCUAAAAAGAAAGGAAAAGAAACAAACAAACAAACCUCAAAUCCCCUUAGAAAAACUUUGCAAUGCUUAGCAUCUUGAGGAAAAUUCUUCCUUGUAAGUAUCCUGAAUCCCCAGCAUUAUGAAUCCCUCCCAUUUCUUCUUUUUUGGAUUUCUAUGGAGGCAAUAUGCCUGCCCUUUUAAUAAUUAUCCACUUUUUUGAAUUUUUGAACAUUAUUCCUUAUUUCUUGUCUAUCUUAUAGAACUGCAGUUCCUCUGAUAUCAACAGUGUCAUUUCACCCCCUUCAAGGUGCAAAGCUAGCCUCUCUCCUCCAAAUAUUGAAAACUGUGAUGGGAUUUGUAGACUUCUUAUCUCAGCAUCAGUACUUUAAAACAUGAACCUAAAAAUCACUAUUUAAAAGAUCCAAUUUCUAUUUUAAAAAAUUUUUGCUGAUGUGUGGUUGAUUUAAAAUGUGCUAAUUUCUGCCAUACAGAAAAGUGAUUCAUUCUUUUUCAUUAUGGUUUAUCAUAGGUUUAUUAUAAUCGUCUUUUCCUAUAAGCAGAUAUUAUUCUCCUUUACUGAUAAAAGCGAGUGAAUCUCCAAGGAGACUGAGAGUAAAAUCAAAUAGGCAUCCUUCAAGCCAAUUAAAAAUCUAGAAUACAAAUCUCCUGAUUUGUAAUCCAAAGCCAUGUCUAUGGCACUGCACACAAUGAUUACAUUUAUUUUUCUAGAUAUAGUUUUAAAAACACAUACAGAUGAUUCAGGAAAAAAAGCUUGUAACAUCCAUUUCAUAUCCCCAAGCAAUCUUCUCUAGAAAUUCAGUCAAUUGUUACUGUUCUACUGGGAAAAAAAAAGUCAUUUUUAUUUUUAAGCUGGUAGUCAUGUGCAAAGACAAAUGCAGCCAUAUUGGUAACAAGAGCUCCUUUCUCUUCCCUUUUCAUUUUCCAUCAUUCUCACUUUGUUUUCUCCUUUCGUUUGCUUUUGGUAUUUUCUAGUUUCAUUAUCCAUUAUCUAUCUAAUAAAAUAGAGGUAGCAUUCAUGCUACCUCUAUUUUAUUACUCCAUUACAGUAUUGUUUAUCUUUGAGGUACAGAGUAAGCCAAUGGAUUCCACCCUAUGAAAACCCGAGAUAAUUUCAACUGUGUGUCAGGUGUCUAUAAACUCAUCCAGUCUUGUGACCUCUGAUGCGUCCCUUCUUUCUCUGGUGUUGGACAGCAGCUUUCAGGUGUAUGAACGGCAAAAGCAGGACAGUUUCUGCUUCCUCCCGAUAUAUAUUACCCUGGGAAAAUCUGCAGACCUUACAUACAUAGUAUAAUGUCUUAUCGAAUCAGUAUUUCAGCUGAAGCUGCUUAUAACUGAUGCCUGUCAGACUUUGGUUGUAAUGUGUACGCAAUGGAGAAAAUACAUGGUGAGGCAUAUUGUACUUGCCAAAAUUUGACCAUGACAGUAAGAUGGA
rnacentral:lncRNA from 1 species